rnacentral:rRNA from 1 species
CACGAAGGUUGGCUAAUCCUGGUCGGACAUCAGGAGGUUAGUGCAAUGGCAUAAGCCAGCUUGACUGCGAGCGUGACGGCGCGAGCAGGUGCGAAAGCAGGUCAUAGUGAUCCGGUGGUUCUGAAUGGAAGGGCCAUCGCUCAACGGAUAAAAGGUACUCCGGGGAUAACAGGCUGAUACCGCCCAAGAGUUCAUAUCGACGGCGGUGUUUGGCACCUCGAUGUCGGCUCAUCACAUCCUGGGGCUGAAGUAGGUCCCAAGGGUAUGGCUGUUCGCCAUUUAAAGUGGUACGCGAGCUGGGUUUAGAACGUCGUGAGACAGUUCGGUCCCUAUCUGCCGUGGGCGCUGGAGAACUGAGGGGGGCUGCUCCUAGUACGAGAGGACCGGAGUGGACGCAUCACUGGUGUUCGGGUUGUCAUGCCAAUGGCACUGCCCGGUAGCUAAAUGCGGAAGAGAUAAGUGCUGAAAGCAUCUAAGCACGAAACUUGCCCCGAGAUGAGUUCUCCCUGACUCCUUGAGAGUCCUGAAGGAACGUUGAAGACGACGACGUUGAUAGGCCGGGUGUGUAAGCGCAGCGAUGCGUUGAGCUAACCGGUACUAAUGAACCGUGAGGCUUAACCUUACAACGCCGAAGGUGUUU